GUUCAGCCUUCCAUAUGUCUAGGCGGUUAGGGAUAGCUGGCUCUCACCCAGCAGACCCGGGUUCGAGUCCCGGUGUGGGAACA
rnacentral:tRNA from 1 species